UACGGAGGGAGCUAGCGUUGUUCGGAAUUACUGGGCGUAAAGCGCGCGUAGGCGGCUUUGUAAGUUAGAGGUGAAAGCCCGGGGCUCAACCCCGGAACUGCCUUUAAGACUGCAUCGCUAGAAUCCGGGAGAGGUGAGUGGAAUUCCGAGUGUAGAGGUGAAAUUCGUAGAUAUUCGGAAGAACACCAGUGGCGAAGGCGGCUCACUGGACCGGCAUUGACGCUGAGGUGCGAAAGCGUGGGGAGCAAACAGG
rnacentral:rRNA from 1 species